CAAGUACUCCCUCCGUCCAAAAAUACUUGUCAUCAAAAUGGAUAAAAAAGAUGUAUCUAGAACUAAUAUACAUCUAGAUACAUCCCCUUUUAUUCAUUUUGAUGACAAAUAUUUCCGGACGGAGGGAAUACUAC
rnacentral:pre_miRNA from 1 species